GGCUCUGUAGCUCAGUGGUUAGAGCACUGGUCUCGUAAACCAGGGGUCGUGAGUUCAAAUCUCACCAGGGCCU
rnacentral:tRNA from 1 species